rnacentral:rRNA from 1 species
UACGAAGGGGGCUAGCGUUGUUCGGAAUUACUGGGCGUAAAGCGCACGUAGGCGGAUUGUUAAGUUAGGGGUGAAAUCCCGGGGCUCAACCCCGGAACUGCCUUUAAUACUGGCAAUCUCGAGUCCGAGAGAGGUGAGUGGAAUUCCGAGUGUAGAGGUGAAAUUCGUAGAUAUUCGGAGGAACACCGGUGGCGAAGGCGGCCCCCUGGACCGGUACUGACGCUGAGGCGCGAAAGCGUGGGUAGCAAACGGG